GCAUAUCAAUAAGCGGAGGAAAAGAAACCAACAGGGAUUGCCUUAGUAACGGCGAGUGAAGCGGCAACAGCUCAAAUUUGAAAGCUGGUCCUUUCAGGGCCCGCGUUGUAAUUUGUAGAGGAUGAUUCGGCGAGGGCUCCCGCCUAAGUCCCCUGGAACGGGGCGUCAUAGAGGGUGAGAAUCCCGUAUGCGGUGGGUUGCCUUAGCCAUGUGAAUCUCCUUCGACGAGUCGAGUUGUUUGGGAAUGCAGCUCUAAAUGGGAGGUAAAUUUCUUCUAAAGCUAAAUACCGGCCAGAGACCGAUAGCGCACAAGUAGAGUGAUCGAAAGAUGAAAAGCACUUUGGAAAGAGAGUUAAAAAGUACGUGAAAUUGUUGAAAGGGAAGCGCUUGCAACCAGACUUGUCCGCAGUUGCUCAGCCGGUCUCCUGACCGGCGUACUCUUCUGCGGCCAGGCCAGCAUCAGUUCGGGCGGUCGGAUAAAGACCUCGGGAAUGUGGCUCCCUUCGGGGAGUGUUAUAGCCCGGGGUGGAAUGCGGCCAGCCUGGACUGAGGAACUCGCUUCGGCUAGGAUGCUGGCGUAAUGGUUGUAAGCGGCCCGUCUUGAAACACGGACC
rnacentral:rRNA from 1 species